rnacentral:rRNA from 1 species
AAUAGAUACCCUGGUAGUCCACGCCGUAAACGAUGAGUGCUAAGUGUUAGAGGGUUUCCGCCCUUUAGUGCUGCAGCUAACGCAUUAAGCACUCCGCCUGGGGAGUACGGCCGCAAGGCUGAAACUCAAAGGAAUUGACGGGGGCCCGCACAAGCGGUGGAGCAUGUGGUUUAAUUCGAAGCAACGCGAAGAACCUUACCAGGUCUUGACAUCCUCUGCCAACCCUAGAGAUAGGGCGUUCCCCUUCGGGGGACAGAGUGACAGGUGGUGCAUGGUUGUCGUCAGCUCGUGUCGUGAGAUGUUGGGUUAAGUCCCGCAACGAGCGCAACCCUUGAUCUUAGUUGCCAGCAUUCAGUUGGGCACUCUAAGGUGACUGCCGGUGACAAACCGGAGGAAGGUGGGGAUGACGUCAAAUCAUCAUGCCCCUUAUGACCUGGGCUACACACGUGCUACAAUGGAUGGUACAAAGAGCAGCGAACCCGCGAGGGUAAGCCAAUCUCAUAAAGCCAUUCUCAGUUCGGAUUGU